rnacentral:lncRNA from 1 species
AUAUAUAUUAAAAAAAUAUAUAAUUUAGUUAAAGUAUAAUUUUAUAUUCCCAGCGAAAACUAUAGAAAUAUAUAUUUUACAAUAAAACAGAGUAAAUGAAAAAGUACAGUUACUUCGAGUAUAUAUUAUUAGCUUAAAUGGGCCGGUAUUUUGUCCUAUAUCGAAAAGUUAUGUUGGACCGAGUCACGUUCGAAAUACCGUGAGACUAGAUUAGGCCAAGUUAUAUUAGAGGUGGCAUGAGGCUGAUUGGACCGAACGCUGUAUCGAUACCUUUUAAGUAAAUUAGUUGCGUAUUUCUAACAGCUCGAAUUUUUGAGAUUAAUGAUUAGCGCCCACGAUCCAACAUACACUAACACUUAUGGGUGCAA